ACGCUGCAGGGCUUGACGGAAGAGCUAAACCAUUUGCCUGGACGUUCUCCCUGCUAUUGUGAUCGGCCUCAUCUGUCUGAAACCUUGCUGACCCCAGCUUAUCUGGUGUUGGACCAAAUGGCCCCAGAGUCUCUGCAUCCUCUUCAGGGUGACCUGCGCAUAUCCUCUAUCCCUGCUCCUGCAAGCCACAGGCUGACCUACCUGGCCCUCAACUGCACGGGCCCUAAUGAGUUGAAAAGAGAGAAACUGGCCAGGUGCAGUGGCUCACAUCUGUCAUCCCAGUACCUUGGGAAACCGAGUUGGGCGGAUCACCUGAGGUUGCGAGUUUCAGACCAGCCUGACCAACAUGGCAAAACCUCGUCUCCACUAGAACUACAAAAAUUAGCUGGGCUUGGUGGUGGACGCCUAUAAUCCCAGCUACUUGGGAGGUUGAGGCAGAAGAAUCGCUUGAGCCCAGGAGGUGGAGGUUACAGUGAGCCGAGGUUGUGCCACUGCAUUCCAGCCUGGGUGACACAGCGAGGCCCUGUCUCAAAAAAGAAAAAAAAAAAAGAAGGGAGAGAAAAGAGAAAAGAGACAGAGACCAGGACUUUUCUCUCUGUCUUGCUGGAGCCUGUGCUGAACCCCGAAGCCUGCUGAUAGUUCUCCAAUUUCAUUUGGCAUUGAAGCCCCUGAAACUCCCGGGCUGCAGGUUGUAACUUGCAUCUUGGUCCUCUGUCUCCCACCUAUCAGAGGAAUACUUUCCAUGGGAAGAUACGGCCAUUUCUAGUCUUGGGCUCUCUUUUAAGGAUCAUCUUCACUGCAGAAGUCAAAGGAGACAGAGUAGUGUGAACAGAAGUCAACAGGGGAAACAGUUCACAGGGGCUCUUCCCUGCAGUCCCUAGGGGAAGGAUACUGUCAUUUUCCUCCAAAUAUUUUCAGAACAUUUUAAACGGUUUUGAGGACUUUAGAGAAAGUCCACACUUCUUCUCUAUUCUAUUCCUCCCUUGCUUGAGCUCCUUAGGGGCUUUCCUCUCUUUUCAGUUUCAGC
rnacentral:lncRNA from 1 species